AGGGUGUAAACGCUGCAGACUUGGUGUUGGGAACCCUUCGGGGGUGCUCAGUGCCGGAGAGAAGUUGUUAAGUCUGCUACUUGGGGAGUACGUCCGCAAGGAUGAAACUUAAAGGAAUUGGCGGGGGAGCACCGCAACGGGAGGAGCGUGCGGUUUAAUUGGAUUCAACGCCGAAAAACUCACCAGCAGCGGAAUGAUUGCCGGGCUGAAGACCCUGCAUGACCAGCUGAGAGGUGGUGCAUGGCGUAGUCGUGU
rnacentral:rRNA from 1 species